rnacentral:rRNA from 1 species
UACGGGGGGAGCAAGCGUUGCUCGGAAUCACUGGGCGUAAAGCGCACGUAGGCGGAUUGCUAAGUCAGGGGUGAAAUCCUGGAGCUCAACUCCAGAACUGCCUUUGAUACUGGCGACCUUGAGUCCGGGAGAGGUGAGUGGAACUGCGAGUGUAGAGGUGAAAUUCGUAGAUAUUCGCAAGAACACCAGUGGCGAAGGCGGCUCACUGGCCCGGUACUGACGCUGAGGUGCGAAAGCGUGGGGAGCAAACAGG